CGGAAAGAAAAAAAUGAAAGAAAGAGAGAAAAGAGAAAGAAUAAGAAGAGGGAAAAAAAGAAAAAUAAAGAAAAAAAGUGCAGAAGAAAGAAAAAACAAAGCAAAACAAGGAAAAGAGAGAAGGAAAGUGUUGCAUGUCUCCCGUCCCCGUGCAGGCCAAGGAAAGACAGUGUUGCGUUAUACAUUUAUUCACGCUCUGUCGCCACCGUCACAGGACCACCGUUCACAGCGACACCAAGACACGAGUGAGGGAAAACGGAGAGGAGGGUGCCUGCUUGUGUGUGUCUGUCUACUACUACUACUACUACUACUACUACUACUACUACUACUACUACUACGAUUCUUUUUUUCUUUUAUUCUUUUACUACUUCUACUUCUACUGCUGCUGCUGCUGUUGUUACUAUUACUACUAAUUAAUUUUUUUCUUCUUUUUCUUCUUGUUCUUGUUUUCUUGUUCUAUUUCUUGUUCUUUUUCUUGUUUCUCUUUGUUUUUGUUUUUGUUGUUGUUGUUCUUUUUCUUUUUCUUUUUCUUGUUCUUGUUCUUCUUGUUCUUGUUCGUCUUGUUCUUGUUCUUCUUGUUCUUGUUCUUGUUCUUCUUGUUCUUCUUCUUUUUCUUCAUCAUCAUCAGCAGCAGUAGCAGCACCAUCAUCAUCAUCAUCAUCAUCAUCAUCUUCUUCUCGUUCUUCUUCUACUACUACUACUACUACUACUACUACUACUACUACUACUACUAUUACUACUACUACUACUGCUACUACUAUUUGUUGGAAAGUCUACGUGUGUGAUUGAUUUUGAGGGCCGACACACACACACACACACACACACACACACACACACACACACACACACACACACACACACACACACACACACACACACUAUAUUCAUAUCCAAGAUUUUAAAACAAUGCAUUCAAGGCCUGGGAUUAGAUACACGGGAGCUACACGGGAGCUUAGGUUCAGAGGAGCUGCCUCGUGCAGACCUACCGGCCUCUUGGAGACUCCUAUGUUCUUAUGUUCUUAUGUUCUAAGCCCUUCUUUUGGUGUGUGUGUGUGUGUGUGUGUGUGUGUGUGUGUGUGUGUGUGUGUGUGUGUGUGUUUGCGCCCAUAUGGUCCAAAAUACGUCCUUAUCUACGGGAAUAAACACAAGGAAGGCAUUCAGAACAACAGCUAAAGAUUAAUGGAACAAACAGCCGAAGGAAACCAGAACUAUUGUCUUGUAUAUGAAGGCAGAGGGAGGCAAGGGAUGGAGAGAGGGAGGGAGGAGAGGGAGGGAGAGGGAGGGAGGGAGGGAAGGGAUAGGGAUUGGAGGUUGUACUGAGAGAUGACAGGUGUUUGUGAAGGUGUAACUAAGGGCAUGCUAGUCAGUUUAUGCUAUAUAGGGAAGUUGUGGGAGUUUGAAGGAGAUAAAGGACUGAAAGGAGAGAAAUGGAGGUGGUAAUGAGAGAUGACAGGUGUGUAUAGAGGUGUAACUAAAGGUAUGCCAGUCUGUUAAUGCUACAUAGGGAAGUUAUUGGAGUUUGUAGAGGGAGUGAGAGUUAAAAGGGAAAGUGAUGGAGGUGGAAUAAUUAGAGAUCUCAGGUGUGAAUGAAGGUGAAAAUUAAGGUAGUCAGACAGUUAGUACUUACAUAAAUAAAGAACUAUUGUGUGUAAGUAGAUAGGGUGGUUCUAGGAGGUAAAAGAGGGAGUGAGAGGUGGAAGGGAAAGUGAUGGAGGUGGAAUAAUUAGAGAUAUCAGGUGUGAAUGAAGGUGAGAGUGAAGGUAGUCAGUACUUACAUCAUAUAAAUAACUAGAAAGUCUUAAGUAGAUAGGGAAGCUGUAGGAGAUAAUAGAGGGAAAGUAAGGUUAAAAGGGAGAGUGAUGGAGAUGGUAAUUAAAGAUCUCAGGUGUGAAUGAAGGUGAGAAUGAAGGCAGUCAGUACUUACAUAAUAUAAAUAUCUAGAAAGUGAAAGUAGAUAGGGAAGUUGUAGGAGAUAAUAAAUAGAGAGUAAGGUUAAAAGGGAGAGUGUUGUAGGUGGAAUAAUUAAAGAUCUCAGGUGUGAAUGGAGGACAAAGAAAAGGUAUGUAAUCGGGCAGUACUAACACAGAAUAAAUAACCAGUAAGUGUAAGUAGAUAGGGAAGUUGUAGGAGGUAAGAGAUAGAAAGUAAGGUUAAAAGGGAAAGUGCUGGAGGUGGUAAUUAAAUAUAUCAGGUGUGAAUGGAGGAUGAAUCAAAGGUAUAUCAUGUUAUUAAUUUUCCUCGUUUUUUUAUUCUCUUCUCUUUCUCAUUUUCGUGUUCUUUCCAACCCGCUUUAAUUCAUCAUAUACUCCUUUUCUCUUCUUUUAUUCACUUCUCUCUCCCUCAUUUUCGUGUUCUUUUCAAAUCGCUUUCAAUCAUCAUAUACUCUUUUCCUCUUUUAUAUUCACUUCUCUCUCCCUCAUUUUCGUGUUCUCUUCAAAUCGCUUUCAAUCAUCAUAUACUCUUUUCCUCUUUUUUUUUUAUUCACUUCUCUCAUUUUCGUGUUUUUUCCAACCCGCUUUCAAUCAUCAUGUACAAUUUUUUUCUUCUUUCAUUCACAUCUCUCAUUUUUGUGUUCUUUCCAAAUCCCUUUCAAUCAUCAUGUACAAUUUUCCUCUUCUUUAAUUCACUUUUCUCUCCUUUUCGUGUUCUUUCCAAUCGCUUUCAAUCAUCAUGUACAAUUUUCCUCUUCUUUAAUUCACUUCUCUCUCCUUUCCGUGUUCUUUCCAACCAGCUUUAAUUCAUCAUAAUUAUACUCUUUUCCUCUUUUUUAUUCACAUUUCUCUCCUUUCCGUGUUCUUUCCAAAUAGCUUUCAAUCAUCAUAUACUCUUUUUCUCUUCUUUUAUUCACAUUUCUCUCCUUCUCGUGUUCUUUUCAAAUCCCUUUCAAUCAUCAUAUAUCUUUUCCUCUUUUUUUAUUCACAUCUCUCUCAUUUUCUUGUUCUUUCCAAAUCGCUUUUAAUAAUCAUAUACUCUUUUCCUCUAUUUUAUUAACUUCUCUCUCCUUUUCUUGUUCAUUCCAAAUCGCUUUUAAUAAUCAUAUACUCUUUUCUUCUAUUUUAUUAACUUCUCUCUCCUUUUCUUGUUCAUUCCAAAUCGCUUUUAAUAAUUAUAUACUCUUUUCCUCUAUUUUAUUAACUUCUCUCUCCUUUUCGUGUUCUUUCCAAAUCGCUUUCAAUCAUCAUAUACUCUUUUUCUCUUUUUUUUUAUUAACAUUUCUCUCCUUUUCGUGUUCUUUCCAAAUCGCUUUCAAUCAUCAUAUACUCUUUUUAUCUUUUUUUUUAUUCACAUUUCUCUCCUUUUCGUGUCCUUUCCAAUUCGCUUAUAAUCAUCAUAUCCUUUUUUUUUGUUUUUCUUCUUCAUCAUAAGCAGUCGUGUUUUUCAUUGGUUAUAUAUACUUUUAUUCUUAGACAUUUCCUUUACUGUUACUUUGUUUUGUGUACUUUCUCCUUUUCGUCUUGGUGGUCAAAACUUACAAAGGAACAAAAAAAAAAAAAAAAUAAGUAAGUGUAAGUUAGUAAGUUAGUAAAUGUCUUGUUUGUUUAUGCAUUAUUCUCAGACAUUUCCUUUUCUGUUACUUUUUUUUCGCAUGUUUUUUUCUACGUCUUUAUCGUCACUACUUACAUAGGAACAAAAAAACCCCAGUAAGUGUAAGUAAGUAGAUAAGUAGGUGUGUUGUUCAUUUAUGCUUUAUUCUCAGACAUUUCCUUUUCUGUUACUUUUUUUUCGCAUGUUUUUUUUCUACGUCUUUAUCGUCACUACUUACAUAGAAACAUAAAAAAAAACCCAGUAAGUGUAAGUAAGUAGAUAAGUAGGUGUGUUGUUCAUUUAUGCUUUAUUCUCAGACAUUUCCUUUACUCCAACUUUAUUUUAUGUUUUCUCUUCGUCGUCUUUAUAUAAACAACAAGUAAGAGUACGUAUACAUGGAGGUUUGGGAGGGUGUAGAAAGGGGUUGGAAGUGUUGAUUAAAAGGGUCAGGUGUGUGUGGAGGAAUACCUAAUCACCGAAAUUGACCUCUUUUUUCGGCCACCUCUCUAGAUUCUUUUUGUGAGCAGCGAGUAGCGGGCUUUUUUUGUUGUUAUUAUUGUUUACUUUUUUGUGUGCCCUUGAGCUGUCUCCUUUGUUGUAAAAAAAGAAAAAAAGAAAAGAAAAACAUACUACCCAAUCAUAAGCAUAACCAACAGGUGUAAAUGUGCUCAGGUGGGUGGUUCAGGUGGGUGGUUCAGGUAUAUGUAAGGUCUGGUAGGUGGGACUGCGUGGGUGAGGCGUUGAAGACUAAGCUGCGAGGACGAACACCGAGGUAGGAUAGCACGGUACAGCAGAUAAAAAAGUACACAAGAAUAUA